GACGAACGCUGGCGGCGUGCUUAACACAUGCAAGUCGAGCGGAAAGGCCCUUCGGGGUACUCGAGCGGCGAACGGGUGAGUAACACGUGAGUAAUCUGCCCUUGGCUUUGGGAUAACUACCGGAAACGGUGGCUAAUACCGGAUACGACAACCGUCUGCAUGGGCUGGUUGUGGAAAGUUUUUUCGGCCAGGGAUGUGCUCGCGGCCUAUCAGCUUGUUGGUGGGGUAAUGGCCUACCAAGGCUUCGACGGGUAGCCGGCCUGAGAGGGUGACCGGCCACACUGGGACUGAGACACGGCCCAGACUCCUACGGGAGGCAGCAGUGGGGAAUAUUGGACAAUGGGCGGAAGCCUGAUCCAGCAACGCCGCGUGAGGGAUGACGGCCUUCGGGUUGUAAACCUCUUGCAGUACCGACGAAGCGCCGAUGAUGGUGGUGACGGUAGGUACAGAAGAAGCACCGGCCAACUACGUG
rnacentral:rRNA from 1 species